rnacentral:rRNA from 1 species
AUUGAACGCUGGCGGCAGGCCUAACACAUGCAAGUCGAGCGAGCGGCGGACGGGUGAGUAAUGUCUGGGAAACUGCCUGUUGGAGGGGGAUAACGCCUGGAAAAGGUAGCUAAUACCGCAUACCAUAGGAUGUGCCCAGAUGGGAUUAGGUAGUAGGUGGGGGAACGGCUCACCUAGGCGACGAGCCCUAGCUGGUCUGCGAGGAUGACCAGCCGAACUGGAACUGAGACACGGUUCAGACUCCGACGGGAGGCAGCAGUGGGGAAUAUUGCACUGUGCGCGGAUGCCUGAUGCAGCCAUGCCGCGUGUGUGAAGAAGGCCUUCGGGUUGUAAAGCACUUGCAGCGGGGAGGCUUGACCCGCAGAAGAAGCACCGGCUAACUCCGUGCCAGCAGCCGCGGUAAUUC